CAUAUCAAUAAGCGGAGGAAAAGAAACCAACAGGGGAUUGCGUUAGUAACGGCGAGUGAAGCGGCAACAGCUCAAAUUUGAAAUCUGGCGUCCUUGGGCGUCCGAGUUGUAAUUUGCAGAGGGCGCUUUGGCGUUGGCAGCAGUCUAAGUUCCUUGGAACAGGACGUCGCAGAGGGUGAGAAUCCCGUAUGUGAUUGCGUGCCUUCGCCGUGUAAAGCCCCUUCAACGAGUCGUGUUGUUUGGGAAUGCAGCACUAAAUGGGAGGUAAAUUUCUUCUAAAGCUAAAUACUGGCCAGAGACCGAUAGCGCACAAGUAGAGUGAUCGAAAGAUGAAAAGCACUUUGGAAAGAGAGUCAAACAGCACGUGAAAUUGUUGAAAGGGAAGCGCUUGUAGCCAGACUUGCCUGCAGUUGCUCAUCCGGGCUCCUGCCCGGUGCACUCUUCUGCAGGCAGGCCAGCAUCAGUUUAGGCGGCUGGAGAAUGGCCUCUGUCAUGUACCUUCUCUCGGGAAGGCCUUAUAGGGGAGGCGUAAUACAGCCAGUCUGAACUGAGGUCCGCGCAUCUGCUAGGAUGCUGGCGUAAUGGCUAUAAGCGGCCCGUCUUGAAACACGGACCAAGGAGUCUAACAUCUAUGCGAGUGUUUGGGUGUCAAGCCCGAGCGCGCAAUGAAAGUGAACGGAGGUGGGACCCUUUUAGGUGCACCAUCGACCGAUCCUGAUGUCUUCGGAUGGAUUUGAGUAAGAGCAUAGCUGUUGGGACCCGAAAGAUGGUGAACUAUGCUUGAAUAGGGUGAAGCCAGAGGAAACUCUGGUGGAGGCUCGCAGCGGUUCUGACGUGCAAAUCGAUCGUCAAAUUUGGGCAUAGGGCGAAAGACUAAUCGAACUAUCUAGUAGCUCCUCUG
rnacentral:rRNA from 1 species